CCCAAGCCGCCUCCCAGCGCCAUUCCCCACGUCCCCUUGUCCGGGCCAUGGAGGGCUUAGUGCUGCGCCCCGCCAAAGACUACCGGGUGGUGCUGCUGGGCAGCGUGGCGGUGGGUAAGACGGCGCUGGCCACGCAGUUCGCGUGCGGCCGCUUCCCCGAGCGCUGCGAGCCGUCGGUGGAGGAGCUGUUCAGCAAGGUGAUCGAGGUGAACCGGGCUCCCGCGCUGCUGGAGAUCGUGGACACGGUGGGCGCGGAGCAUCUGGUCACCCUCAAGGACCUGUACAUCAGGAACAGCGACGGCUUCGUGGUGCUCUACAGCGUGUGCGAUGAGGCCUCGUUCCAGGCCGUGCGGCCGCUGCGGGAGCGCAUGGACCGGCUGCGGGGCUCGCGCGCGGUCCCGCUCGUGCUGGUGGGCACCAAGGCCGACCUAGAUGCCGAGCGCCAGGUGCUGACGGCCCAGGGCCGCGCGCUGGCCCGCGAGUGGCGCUGCCCGUUCCUGGAGAUCACGACCAAGAGCAAAACGAUGGUGGACCGCGUGUUCACGCAGGUGGUGCGCGAGAUGGAGGCCCUGGCCCCGCCGGGGCAGGAGGCUCCCCGCAUCCCCGCCAAUGCCCUGGAGACGUGGCCCGCCGAGAGGUUCAUUGGCUAGCGCGCCACGGUCCGCCAGCUCAGUGCCUUUUCCCAGAAACGUAUCCAACCGUAGACAAGUGGCUGCUUUUCUGUAUAUUCACCGCAAAGGGUGCUGGUGCUUCAAUCUGCCUGCCUGUCUUUCUUCAAUGUUAGGCAAAAACUUUGCAACAUUCCCCUCUGUUGACCUCCGACUGUGCUACAAGAAGAAACCAAAAUUUACAUUUUCCCGUAGAGAAAAUUUACAGCCCUGUUCAAUCUGUUUCGGACUCCCACCCACCCGUCUAAUUUUUGUAAAUAGCAACUCGGGAACUUUUGAUUGGUUGGGAAGUGUGCACUGGAAGAAACGUUUUCUUCAGCUUUAGGACGGCUUUCUCUCCUUUACAGCCUUGAAUCCAGCAGUGAGAUUUUCCUCAACAUGAAUCCCUAAAUAUAGUUAUGACUUAGGCCAUAUUGGUUUGAAAGGGGAUACUGGACGGGAGACAACUGUGCACACACACUAAGAUAGCUCGGCCCUACCUUGUAAUUGACAUUUAGCUGGUUUCCACAUCCUCUGCACUGGGAAUAAAAUUAGAAGUUGGUGAUUUUUAA